GUGGGGAAUAUUGGACAAUGGGCGAAAGCCUGAUCCAGCCAUGCCGCGUGUGUGAAGAAGGUCUUCGGAUUGUAAAGCACUUUAAGUUGGGAGGAAGGGCAGUAAGUUAAUACCUUGCUGUUUUGACGUUACCAACAGAAUAAGCACCGGCUAACUUCGUGCCAGCAGCCGCGGUAAUACGACGGGUGCAAGCGUUAAUCGGAAUUACUGGGCGUAAAGCGCGCGUAGGUGGUUCAGCAAGUUGGAGGUGAAAUCCCCGGGCUCAACCUGGGAACUGCCUCCAAAACUACUGAGCUAGAGUACGGUAGAGGGUAGUGGAAUUUCCUGUGUAGCGGUGAAAUGCGUAGAUAUAGGAAGGAACACCAGUGGCGAAGGCGACUACCUGGACUGAUACUGACACUGAGGUGCGAAAGCGUGGGGAGCAAACAGGAUUAGAUACCCGUGUAGUCC
rnacentral:rRNA from 1 species